rnacentral:rRNA from 1 species
UACAGGGGGGGCAAGCGUUGUUCGGAAUUACUGGGCGUAAAGGGCUCGUAGGCGGCCAACUAAGUCCGACGUGAAAUCCCCAAGCUUAACUUGGGAACUGCGUCGGAUACUGGAUGGCUUGAAUCCGGGAGAGGGAUGCGGAAUUCCAGGUGUAGCGGUGAAAUGCGUAGAUAUCUGGAGGAACACCGGUGGCGAAGGCGGCAUCCUGGACCGGCAUUGACGCUGAGGCGCGAAAGCCAGGGGAGCAAACGGG